ensembl:lncRNA
UGAUCUUGGGCCCACUACCCUGGGUUAUGUCAGGGGUUCCAGGCUGAGGACCUUGGGGCCCACUACCCUGGGGUACUCACUCUAACAGGCCUGACCUCAAGUCAUCAGCUUUUUGAAGCACAGAGCCAAAUGUUUUAAGCCAGGAAAAACAAAACCAAAGGAACAGAUAAGAACCCAAAGGCCAAGCUCUUGACAAGUUCAACCCUUGAGCUAGAUGUCAUAAAAUCCAUUUAAAAACCCUUAAUCUAGACUGUCUCAUACUUUACUGCAUUAGUUUGAAUGAUGGUAAAAUAGAUGUUGUUGUUUUUUUCCCCCACCUAGGCCAUAUUCCAGUGAGUACACUUGUCACAGUCCGCUUUAGCUACCUCCUGUUUCUAAGCAAGAGUCUGCUGUAUGCUGUGCUGAUCUGUACAGUGGUGUGGAAAUGCAAGCUUACAAAACCAAAGUCGAUGUUGAAUGAGAACUGAGGAAUUUCAUCUGGAAAAUGUUAUUUAGCAAGAGCAUCUAUGAAGAAAUGCUAUCAAGCACUGUAAAAUGGGUCACUUUUCAAAUGCCAUACAUGAAUAAUUUUCCAUUAUAUUCAGCUUAAAUAAACAAGAUCUUAAAUAAACAUGAUUAAUACUGUUCUAAGUAAAAGUAAAAAUGUGUAAUAUAGUGAAACAAUCUUUUUUAAUUGUUUUGUAUUUUUCUAUUUCUGAUAAAAACUAAAAAUGUAAUGUUUGUAAUGUUUAAUCAUCUGCUUAUAACCUACAAUGUUUUCAAUUUCUUGAACUGUUUCUUUUGACAAGC